CUCGCCCAAAGUCACACAGCUAGUAGAAAGCAGAGCUAGCGACUGAACCCAGAUUAACUGACAUGCUCUUAAUGAUGAUGCUGGGUGGCUUCCAAUGGCUAACUCAGACCAGGUAUAUUUAUGUUUGAAUCUCCACAGAGCGGUUGACUUUCUACUGACUGAUGCUGCUUCAAAUAGGGUAUAAAGAUGAAUCUAAUGCUAGUCCUUUUCCCUCUUGAUCCUAGGCCUUAGGUAGCCAGAAAUUGGGGGUGUAUUUUGAUAACAGACCAAAAAACUUGAAAUCAUCUGCAGUCUGCCUCAUCCUGAAAUGCUCAGCAGGAUACAAGUAGUUCAGACAGCAAUCAAUAGGCUUCUGGUGUGGCACGGGAAGAACAAAACCCCUAAUUGCCUCUAUCCUUUGAGUCCACCAACAUGGACUACAACAUUGUAAGAACUGCUGUAAUACCUGCAGGGUUGACUGUUUACAAAGAAUAGACACCUACCUGAAUUUCUACAAGAAAAUAGGGGCUUGGUGUGGAGACAUGGGGAACAGGUAUGAGGAUGUGUGGGAGCUGGACUAAAACUGGAAAGCACCCACAGAAUCCAGGCUGCUCCAGGACUCACUCUCCAUUUCUCUCUCAGGGGCCGUGUGGCUCCCUCAUGGUAUCUCUGCUCCUCUCUGAAUAGACUUAAUUCCCUUCCUGUGACCUGUAUUCCUUCACAACAUAGUUUGCUCCAGUCAUCACUUCCACAUUUCAGGAAGAAGGUUCAGGGAGGGGAAAAGUCAUCCUCUUUGUCCAUCAAGGUUUCCCUUACAUCUCAUUGGUCAGAAUGGGAUCACAUGGCCACUCCUGGCUGUAAGACUGGCUGGGGAAUCCUGUAAGGAGCUUUUCUAGUCUCUCUCUUGGAGAGAGGCAUGGGAGAGGGAGCUGGAGUUAACCUACUAUAACGUAUCUGCCCCAGGAGGUGGAAUUUAGAUCAACCGGCCAGCGUGGUUGAGAUAAAAUUUAUAAAAUGGUUUGAAACUAUAAAGCACUGUAAAAUGUUGGCUUCAACAUGGGAUGCAUGUGGUACAACACAUUUCGAGGGUCAUUUAAAGGGCCCCAGAGUGUGCAUCUAAUUUGCUUGAGUCAUUUCAUCUUAAAAAUUAUAUCCAUAAAAAAGAAUUCCAAAGAAGCAAAAAGUUGUAUGUAGACAAUUUUUAAUGCAGCACUGCCUAAAAUCACUAAAAUUUCUCAACUCAAUGGAAUAUUUUAUACCCAUUAAAAUACGUAUAAAUAUGAAAUAUUUGUGUUAAAAUGUUAUAUAACAAAACCAUGAUACAGAAUUAAACCUACCCUAUAAUGACAAAUUUGUAAAUUGUGUCUGUGCUGGGAAUGAGUGCAGAAAAGCUGAUAUAUAUGAUGGAAGUGGGACUCCAUGUUGCUUUUUCUUGUUUUCUUUAAUAUUUUCAUAAUACUCUUUGUAUGUUAAUGCAAUCAGGAGAAAAAAAAACAAAUACAGUGGCUCUGUAGGCUUGGCUCAACUGUCAGGGACUGAACAGAGUCAUAUAUCUUAGGACAUAUCUGACUUAUUCCCUAGAAAUGAGGAGAAGUUUAGCCCUUUGAUAUUUGUGUCUAUCCCUUUCCUCUAGGAGCAAAAUAUCAGAUAAAAGAGUUUGUGGUUCUUUUCCUUCUGUUCUUUUCAUGUGAAGGAAGUGCAACUUCCCUUCUGUCCUAUUCCAGAAAUUAGUAAUCUUACCUCAGCCCCACUCAGGUCAGGUCCUGAACCACUUCUUCUUUCAAGGAUGGGAAACAGGAAGAAGUAUUUCAGGGGCAGUGGUAGUGCAUGUUUGUCUCUGCCCUGCAAGUAACCUCUGCCAACCAUGUUUUAGUGUGAUCUUGGGGGGGAAUACCUAAGACUCCCACAAAGCAUAUGGUGUGACUGUUUCUUUCUCCUGCCUGAAGUUUGGAUCCCUGUUUGGACAACUGAGGGAGCCUGUGGAACCAUCUAGAAUGCUUCUGAGAGAGCAACAGGCACCUUUGAGGCCAAUAUACCCUUUAUAUAUCAUUGGGGAUGUGCUAGCCAUAUCAUUGGUCAACCCAAGACACAAUGGGUAGAAUAAUUACAGCUAAUGUUGACUGAAUAUUCACUACAUGCACUUUGACAUCUACUAAUCUCAUUUAAUCAUCACAACAACUCCAAGAGAAUCUUCUCAGAAGGGUAGAUCCUGUGUGGCCAGUUCCUUUGAAUGUAGUGGAUCAAGCAAACUGGAGAGGUUUAAACAGAGGAUUCCAUCAUGAACCAGUUUCUGUGGUCUCCCAGGUUCUGAAGAGGACAAGAACCACGUGGAAAUUUAGUUUUGCCAGCUAGAACCAAUACCAUACUUUAACUUACAAUGGCUUUGGGGUUUUACUUCGAUAUGGCACCUCUGGCUGUGGAAUGGUAUGAUGCAAUAAGGUACAGGAAACAACUCCACUUCUGUGCCUGGAUUUCUGAGAUAACACAUGGAAGAUAACUUCUUGGGAGAGUUUCUCUUUCCUGUAGUAAAUUUUGGACAAAUAAGAAAUAAACUUCUAUUAUAUUAGGCACUGAGAUUUUGGUAUUGUUUGUUACUGCACAAAACCUGUUUUUGAUGCAGAAAUCCAUAGUCUGGAAGGAAAAUCCAUCUGAAUUUCUAGUUUUUUAAAUUGUAAAGUUAGGAUGCCGAUUUGAGAUCUUCCUUUUAUUUUAAUGUGUUUAUGACUAUAAAUUUUCCCUUAGCACUGCUUUCACUGCAUCCCAUUUUAAAUUUUGAUAUGUUGUGGUUUUGCUUCAUUCGUCUCUAAAUAUUUUAAAAUUUCCCUUGUAAUUUCUUCUUUGGCCAUUAGUUCUUUAAGAAUAUGUUGCUUAGGGGUGCCUGGGUGGCUCAGUUCGUUAAGUGUCUGCCUUUGGCUCAGGUCAUGAUCCCAGGGUUGUCAGAUCGAGCCCUAUACUGGGCUCCUUGCACAGCGGAGAGCCUGCUUCUCCCUCUCCCUCUGCUGCUCCCCCUGCUUGUUCUCCCUUUCUCUUUGUCAAAUAA